rnacentral:rRNA from 1 species
CGCUGGCGGCAUGCCUAACACAUGCAAGUCGCGCGGGCGGUAGCAAUACCGUUAGCGGCGGACGGGUGAGGAACACAUAGGAAUUUGCCUUUAGGUGGGGGAUAGCCCAGGGAAACUUGGAGUAAUACCGCAUGAUGUCGCAAGACCAAAGCAGGGGAUCGCAAGACCUUGCGCCUUUAGAGGAGCCUAUGUCUGAUUAGCUAGUUGGUAGGGUAAUGGCCUACCAAGGCGACGAUCAGUAACUGGUCUGAGAGGACGAUCAGUCACACUGGAACUGAGACACGGUCCAGACUCCUACGGGAGGCAGCAGUGGGGAAUAUUGGACAAUGGGCGCAAGCCUGAUCCAGCAAUGCCGCGUGUGUGAAGAAGGCCUUCGGGUUGUAAAGCACUUUAGGCCGGGAAGAAAAAAUCAGGGCUAAUAUCCUUGAUCUUGACGGUACCGGAAGAAUAAGCACCGGCUAACUCUGUGCCAGCAGCCGCGGUAAUACAGAGGGUGCGAGCGUUAAUCGGAUUUACUGGGCGUAAAGCGUGUGUAGGUGGUUGUUCAAGUCGGUUGUGAAAUCCCUGGGCUUAACCUGGGAACUGCUUCCGAGACUGAGCGACUAGAGUACGGUAGAGGGCGGUGGAAUUUCCGGUGUAGCGGUGAAAUGCGUAGAUAUCGGAAGGAACACCAAUGGCGAAGGCAGCC